rnacentral:rRNA from 1 species
GAGCUAAACGAUAAAAAGCUCAUUUUCAAAAGGAAAAUGAGAGUUUGAUCCUGGCUCAGGACGAACGCUGGCGGCGUGCCUAAUACAUGCAAGUCGAGCGAGCUUGCCUAGAUGAUUUUGGUGCUUGCACUAAAUGAAACUAGAUACAAGCGAGCGGCGGACGGGUGAGUAACACGUGGGUAACCUGCCCAAGAGACUGGGAUAACACCUGGAAACAGAUGCUAAUACCGGAUAACAACACUAGACGCAUGUCUAGAGUUUGAAAGAUGGUUCUGCUAUCACUCUUGGAUGGACCUGCGGUGCAUUAGCUAGUUGGUAAGGUAACGGCUUACCAAGGCAAUGAUGCAUAGCCGAGUUGAGAGACUGAUCGGCCACAUUGGGACUGAGACACGGCCCAAACUCCUACGGGAGGCAGCAGUAGGGAAUCUUCCACAAUGGACGAAAGUCUGAUGGAGCAACGCCGCGUGAGUGAAGAAGGGUUUCGGCUCGUAAAGCUCUGUUGGUAGUGAAGAAAGAUAGAGGUAGUAACUGGCCUUUAUUUGACGGUAAUUACUUAGAAAGUCACGGCUAACUACGUGCCAGCAGCCGCGGUAAUACGUAGGUGGCAAGCGUUGUCCGGAUUUAUUGGGCGUAAAGCGAGUGCAGGCGGUUCAAUAAGUCUGAUGUGAAAGCCUUCGGCUCAACCGGAGAAUUGCAUCAGAAACUGUUGAACUUGAGUGCAGAAGAGGAGAGUGGAACUCCAUGUGUAGCGGUGGAAUGCGUAGAUAUAUGGAAGAACACCAGUGGCGAAGGCGGCUCUCUGGUCUGCAACUGACGCUGAGGCUCGAAAGCAUGGGUAGCGAACAGGAUUAGAUACCCUGGUAGUCCAUGCCGUAAACGAUGAGUGCUAAGUGUUGGGAGGUUUCCGCCUCUCAGUGCUGCAGCUAACGCAUUAAGCACUCCGCCUGGGGAGUACGACCGCAAGGUUGAAACUCAAAGGAAUUGACGGGGGCCCGCACAAGCGGUGGAGCAUGUGGUUUAAUUCGAAGCAACGCGAAGAACCUUACCAGGUCUUGACAUCCAGUGCAAACCUAAGAGAUUAGGUGUUCCCUUCGGGGACGCUGAGACAGGUGGUGCAUGGCUGUCGUCAGCUCGUGUCGUGAGAUGUUGGGUUAAGUCCCGCAACGAGCGCAACCCUUGUCAUUAGUUGCCAUCAUUAAGUUGGGCACUCUAAUGAGACUGCCGGUGACAAACCGGAGGAAGGUGGGGAUGACGUCAAGUCAUCAUGCCCCUUAUGACCUGGGCUACACACGUGCUACAAUGGACGGUACAACGAGAAGCGAACCUGCGAAGGCAAGCGGAUCUCUUAAAGCCGUUCUCAGUUCGGACUGUAGGCUGCAACUCGCCUACACGAAGCUGGAAUCGCUAGUAAUCGCGGAUCAGCACGCCGCGGUGAAUACGUUCCCGGGCCUUGUACACACCGCCCGUCACACCAUGAGAGUCUGUAACACCCAAAGCCGGUGGGAUAACCUUUAUAGGAGUCAGCCGUCUAAGGUAGGACAGAUGAUUAGGGUGAAGUCGUAACAAGGUAGCCGUAGGAGAACCUGCGGCUGGAUCACCUCCUUUCUAAGGAAGGCGAAAGAUGAUGGAGAGUGCGAGAGCACUAAGAGAA